CCGUGAUGUGUGUUGUGUGGAGCACGUGGAUGUUAGACUCUGCGAUUCUCAAACACUGCUGUCAUGAUUACUACUAGGUGUACUGAAGCUGUACCCAAAGCUAUUUCCAUCGGCUCAGCAGUCAUGCUCCACCUGGAACCACCACUACCACUACUAAUGCCACUACUACUACUACUACGGCCGUGGCAGCCCAACAACAACAAACAACACUGCCACGAUCUACAAAGUGACUACAACUUUCUCACACUUCCCUCCAGAUGUCAUUAAUUUUCUCCACAUUACGAGAGUUUACCCUGAAGCUGUUAUUUGGAACAGGAGUGAAGCAAAAGUAUCACGUGGAGAGCUAAGAGAGGAGAGGAAAAGGAAAAUAAUAAUGGAGAAGAGGGGAAGAAAGAUGAAAAGGAAAGAAAACUUAUUAAGGAGGAGGAGGAAGAGGAGGAGGAGGUGAAAAAGAAGGAGAAGAAGAAGAAAAAGAAAAAGAAAAAGAAA